CCUUUCUCAGGAUUGCACCUGGAGAGUUUCCAGGACUUUACCAGUCUCAACUAUGGGAGGGAGAGUCAAGCAGAGGUCUACCCAUUCCGUUCCUAGCUCGGGCAGUAGCUAGUGAGUGGAAGGUGGUCUGCUACAAAU